rnacentral:rRNA from 1 species
GUUUUGAUCCUGGCUCAGGACGAACGCUGGCGGCGUGCUUAACACAUGCAAGUCGAACGAUGAAGCCUUUCGGGGUGGAUUAGUGGCGAACGGGUGAGUAACACGUGGGCAAUCUGCCCUUCACUCUGGGACAAGCCCUGGAAACGGGGUCUAAUACCGGAUAAUACUUUCUCUCUCAUGGGGGAAGGUUAAAAGCUCCGGCGGUGAAGGAUGAGCCCGCGGCCUAUCAGCUAGUUGGUGGGGUAAUGGCCUACCAAGGCGACGACGGGUAGCCGGCCUGAGAGGGCGACCGGCCACACUGGGACUGAGACACGGCCCAGACUCCUACGGGAGGCAGCAGUGGGGAAUAUUGCACAAUGGGCGAAAGCCUGAUGCAGCGACGCCGCGUGAGGGAUGACGGCCUUCGGGUUGUAAACCUCUUUCAGCAGGGAAGAAGCGAAAGUGACGGUACCUGCAGAAGAAGCGCCGGCUAACUACGUGCCAGCAGCCGCGGUAAUACGUAGGGCGCAAGCGUUGUCCGGAAUUAUUGGGCGUAAAGAGCUCGUAGGCGGCUUGUUGCGUCGGUUGUGAAAGCCCGGGGCUUAACCCCGGGUCUGCAGUCGAUACGGGCAGGCUAGAGUGUGGUAGGGGAGAUCGGAAUUCCUGGUGUAGCGGUGAAAUGCGCAGAUAUCAGGAGGAACACCGGG